ensembl:lncRNA LINC01036 long intergenic non-protein coding RNA 1036
GUAGGGACUCUGGCUUUGUCCCUGUUUCCCCCUUUUCUUCCUCUUCACCCACUAAAACCCUGUUUUACUCACGGUUCAAAUUGUUUGGCAGCCUGAAUUUUCAUGGCCAUGGGACAAAGAACCCCGUCUUUAGCUGAAUUAAGGAAAAGUUCUGCAACAUUUUUGACGUGCAACUUGGGGGCUCAAGCGGAGAAGCGGACGGAUCAGCAGCUCCCUGCCACUGUCCCCUCCCUGCCAGGGCUGGGACACAUGGCUCAAGGCGCUGCAGAAGGCUGGCUGGCGUUUUCUACCAUGUGCCCAUGGAAUCUCCUCCCACAGUCAGGGAGCCCAGCUCCAACCCACAGCAAUUACACUUCUCCCCCUGGUGAAGGAAACACUUGCAUAAGAAUAAGAGCAGAGCCCCUGGAAAACUCACAUAUGUGUCAACAAUAGUCCUUGAUGCCCCUGUAACAAAACUUGAGCAAGGCCUGGUGAUGAAGAGAUACAAGAUUGUCACCCAAGGAUUUGAUUAUACCUCUGUUGAAAGUUAAUGCACACUCAACCGAAUAUGGCAAUUGGUACUCUCAAUUCUAUAUUCUCAACAAUUACAGUGAAGAUACAAGUAGAAUACAAUCACUGCCACAUUUUUUGAAAUUCUGUGUAAACUGUAAUAUUCUGUCAACAUUAAUGACAUUUGAAGUGUCCUGUCAAAACAAUUGCAGCUACUUUAUGUAUAAAACAUAUUAAAUAGGCUCAUCCAACUUGCAUUCUUUAUUAAGCUUAUUUUCAUAUUUUUUCCUAUGGAUGAACUUAAAAAUAAUUUUGUUUCUUAAUUAAGAUUCUAUGCAUGAAGAUGCUGAAUAAUUUAAGACAAUUGUUCAUUCAAAUAGUUGCUAAUUACACCCUCCUGGCAUAGUUAUUGUAUUAUUACUACAUUUAGGAAUAAUAUGCUGUACUACUUGGACUUGAAAAUGUUUCUGACAUUUUAAUGAACACACUACUUAGUUAUAUUUUACAAGGGUUUUCAGUGAACCACAGAGGAUUAAAAAAUGUCAUUCAAGGGUUGUAGAUAAUUAAACUGACUGAAUAUAAGAAGCCUCAUAUGGAAGUGAAAAUUAUGUAUGAAUUUUGUUGAGCUGGAAAUGUGUUUUACUAAAUGACUUCAGAUUUGUUACUUUUAAAUACAAGAUGAAGGGAAUCAAGGGGAUACUUUCUUCUCACCUCAAUUUGUUCCAUUUGCAUAAGCUAUUUUAUCUUUCAAUAUCCCUUUUGAUAUUUCAUUUUGGCCCUUGAAUACACUAAAGAUUAUUUAAAAUAAAUAAAUGUUGACUUUG